UCUUAUGUCCAUAAAUUACCCUCAUACGUCAUCAUUCGUUUUGGCCUUCUAGCAUUUUCGAUCUGCGAUGUAUUGCUUCAGGUCUUCACUGGGUACUGAGUCCCGUGAUGAAGCUGAUCAACCACAGCCACUGGAAUUGAGGCCUGGACGAUCUCACGCUCGUCAGCAAGCCUCAGCACGCCGCCCAGGCCCGACCUCACCGAUUGAACUCAUUGCUCGAGGUCCAGAUGGCCGGUUCCUGCUCGGUGUCGAGGAAGGAGAUCGAGCUCCGGUUACUACAGAACAGCAAAGAGUUGGUGGUGGAGGCAGAGGAAGGGGUCGAGGUGUUGCCAGCGAGGCAAGUCGAAAACUGGCCGAGGCUGUGAGAGCAAGACCAUCUCCAAGGAGAGGGGGAAGCCACCCACCACCAAGACCUAGACCACCCGUGGCACCACGCCAGGCGACUGAGCACAGUCGCGUGAAGAACCAGAGUCUGAAACUUAGCGAGCGUGCUGAAAUGAAGAUGCAGCUCAAGAAGUCAGGACUUCUGAGCACCCGGAAGCAACAGGAACGUGAAAGCCAUGCUAAGGUAGAAUCUUCACGGGACCCCAGCUCUUCAGAGAAACCUCCUAUCCCUGUAGUUCAAGUUGAAAGCCAAGGUCCACCUCAUGUUCCACCUUGGGACCCCUUAAGGCUCUCGCUGAGCAGCGCCGAGGGUUCCCCUGACUCGGUAGCCCCUCCGAGACCACCACCUCCAGGCGCCACAUCUCCACGCUCCCUUUUCGUAUACUCACUUUCACCAUCUCUCAGCUCGGCAGGUGCAGCAGCUGGUCUUUCUCCAGUUGUCUCUCCUGCACACUCACCUUCACCGAGCUACAAUCGCUGUGUUUUUGGCCAGGGUCGUGGAGAGCCAGGUUCCUGGGGAGAGACCAAUAUUGGCGAUUGUGGGAAAAGUGGUGGUGGAAAUGGUUGUGGGGAGCAGACAGUCAUGGAACCCUGCCUUGAAGGCUAUGGUAGUCGAUCAUCAUGCUGGCCUCAUCCAUGGAAAGGGCAACAUUGGGGGAAUGAAAGUCUAGUUUCAGAUUGGCAUGAGCAGGAAACUUGGGGCAACAACUGUCAGGAAUGUAACAAUGAUGGGCUGGGGCCUUGGCAGCCAAACGUUUCCAGUGGGGAUGUGGCUGUCUGUAUGACAGUGCCUCCAGAUUAUGAGGAACUGUUUGAUAUGCGAGUCACAAAGGUGCCAACAGGAAAUCGCAAGCAUAUGAUAGAGCGUCAUGCUAUGACUGCAUUUCGACCACCAACAGGGUGAAUAGUACUACAUCAUUUUUCUCCCCCCC
rnacentral:lncRNA from 1 species